CUGAUAUAAAGGAUAUGGCACUAGGGUACUUGUGCAAAGUCUACAGUGUGUACCUAUCAUGUUGAAAAUUUGAGUACAGAUGGUUUAGUUUAAGAAUCCAACCACUUAAAUACAGUGCUUUAAGUAUUGUCACUAUUCAUUUUGAAAAAUUCUUUACCCUGGUCACCAUUUGCUAUCACUAUAGUUAUUAUCUAGGUUCAUUGCAUUAUUUUCCCAAAAUGUAAUCCUUCUCAAGCUUUCUGUCUUAGUCAACUCAAGCUGCUACUAAAAGAAAAACAAGUUACACAUUUAUUUCUUAUAGGUCUCAAGGCUGAGAAGUCCAAGAUCAAAGUAUCAGCAGAUUUAGUUUUUGGUGAGAGCCCUCUUUCUAACUUGCAGAAGGUCAUGUUGCUCUUCUGUUCUCACAUAGAAAAGAGAGAUUUAACUCUGGUUUCUCACAGUUUUGUAUAACAACACUCAUUCUAUUAUGGGGCCUAUACUCUCAUUAUCUUUUUAAGACCCAAUUGUCUACCAAAAGCCCAAAUCCAAAUACUGUUAAAUAAGUAUUAAUGCUUCAGUAUAUAAGUUUUUUGACCAUGACCAUUUAGUAUCUAGCAUCAUCUAACUGGGUUUCUUUCAUCCAUUUUUCUUUGCCUUCUCUACACAAUUGCCAAAUACUAUUUGAAAUAGAUUGAUUUUAUCACAUCAUCCCUUCUUUUAAAAUUUAGGAUAAGCACAAGCAUCCUUAACAAGGUUUACAAAAUAUUCCAUGACUUGUUCCCUGUACUACCUUGACUUAUCUCCAACUUCCUUUCUUCCUAUCUCCUCCUGAAUUACCUUGAGCCUGUGAAGGUGCAAUGGAGGAUCUGUUCAUCAUUGCUCAUGUGCCGCUCCUAGUACUUUGCCUAAGUAAUAUUAACCAUGCAGCCUCCACAAGAAGCAUAAACAUGGUGUUAGAAGAGAUACUCUGAGCGAAGACCAUGGGAAAUGGUAAUGGGUUGAACUUUAUCAGUUUUGAAUUUCCUUUAUAUGUGUAUAGAUCAUCUGAUGUUCCAAGCCCACGCACGGUGAUUCCUACUGGAUUAACAAAUACCGAGAAGACAUGGAUUUUUAAGAAACUGGAGCUGUGAAAAGAGCAGAGCUAAGAAGCUAAUCCAGGAAUCUGGCCCAAUGUAGAAUCUCAGAAGAUACAGACAAAGUUUUGCAGAAUUAGCCAUGGGUCAUAGUAACUGCACUGUAAGCCAAAGGAGCAGCAUCAAAC
rnacentral:lncRNA from 1 species